CCGGGUGCUGUUUUGGUCCCAGUGUAUGAGAGGUUACAAGUAACAUCUACAUUACUUGUCUUAGAUGUGGAUGAUACAGGCAGAAUUAUAAAAAAUAAAAGGGAAGCAGCUGCAGGGGUGAUGACUCCAAGGGGGAAAGGUCUUUGUGCAAAAGGAAAUUCCACAGCAAAUUUGCCUCAGAUGAUACUAGUGCUGCUCUGUUUGGACUCAGUACAUUCUUUUUGUUCAAGUAUUUAUAGAUUAAGCUCUCCAAAAGUUGUGAGUCUGGUUUUGUGAUGUGUUCUGGGUGGACAUAGGCCUAAGGAAGGACAGCGGGCUUUGGCAUCCCUUUUCUGAGAGUCCGUGGAAGGACAAGCUCUUGGAAGACUGUGGUUGUGCUUUAGGCAGCAUGGCAGACACGAAUAUUUAAAUAUGUUGGCAAUAGCAGGAAGAAUUACUCUGUAAAAUGAGCUGAAGAGCAUGUCUCUUAGCUGUUAUAAAGUCAGUCCUUAAAAGUAAUAGCUUUCAAUGAUGAACAAAAGUGACGCCUGCUCUCUGCACCCCUUCAAAGACAGCUGUGUGAAGAGCAGCGUUCUACUCUUAAGUUCAAACCAAUUGAACUAACCGGGGAAAAAUAUAAAUUCACUUCCAUUAUACACAUAAAACUUGUCUUCCUUGUUGUUCUAAACGUUGGAAUCACUUAAAUUAUUAUUUUUUUAUUCCUUCUGAUGUAAGUUAAUAUCCGAGUGCCAGCUAGUGAAAGGUGAGGUGGAUUGAUCUAAAGCAGAUAAAACCUGCAGCAGCUGGCCAAUUUUUAUCUUUGUCAUCAGAAGGAUCCCAGCCCUCUAUAAGCAGAUACCUUUCCUCUCAGGUGAACAAACGUGCUUCCCUUCUUUACCCACCGUGCAAAUCUUUGAUGAACAGAUGCAGCAAUAAAUAUAAAACAGCAAUCUAAAGCUCUUUUUACAUCUCUCGUAGCUGAAAAGCAAAAAUGUAAAAUCAGAUUAUGUGAGACGCAGCUCAGACAAAUGUUGUUACAAAGGAAGACGAGCACAAAAUAAAUCUUAUUUCUCCGGCAAGGAAA